rnacentral:piRNA from 1 species
UUGUCGAUAAACUCCGUAAAGCA